GCGUCGGAGGCCCCCGCCCCCGGCCCCUGGCCCCGGCCUAGACGCACAGGCCUCCCCAGGGGGGGAGCGUCCCGCCACUGAGCCAUCUCAGCAGCGCCCGCUGCGCCCGCACUGACCGUCCGAGCCACGUGGGCGCCCCGCGAGGCGCCAGCGUCCCAGGACAGACAGCCUCACUACACAGCGUCACAGCUACACUGAACCUCAGCCCGUCCCUGCCCCGCUUGGGACUGAAGAUAGCUGGCACAUGAAAUGCAUCUCUCUCGCCCGCGUGGUGUUUCCCUGAGGGUCUCUCAUCCCCAGGCUUCACGACGCUGCCCGCCGCCCGCCCGCCCGCGCCACUCAGGAGAGGAGCCCAGGGUGGGGCCUGGCAAGGACCGGGGCCCAGGAUGCCUUGGGAACGUGGUUUUGACUAUUGCGCUUAUGAAACAGCUGUAUGUUUGGUUUUUUUUUUUUUUGUACUAAUUUGAAGUUUUUCCUCAAAGUGCUUCUUUUCCAUCCUAGUGAGAAGCCAGUAGUAUAGCGUGUGACCCCUGGAGCGGCUCCGGCUGUGGACCUGACCCCACGGCCGGGCGGCACAGGCCUGUGAGCGGCUCUCUGGGCCCUCACGCGGAAGCGUUCGUGGAUGGUUUUGAUAUUGGUUUUUCUUUACCAGUUUCUGGCUUUUACUCUCAAUAUAUUUUUGCUAAACUUGUUUCACAAACUGCCACCGACUGCAGUGCUUGUUUACUGAUGCGUCCCGAGUUCCGCAGCUGCAGGACGGAGCGGCGGGUGUGGGCCCUGCUGAGGAGCCUGGGCUGCCCGGUGCCCCCACUGGGCCUGGAGCUUGAGGGGAACCUGUGUCCAGACAGCUCUUUCGGGCUGAGGAGAGGCUGCCUGGGGGGGAGCAGUGGGAGCCGGGCUGGGUGGACAGGCUCCCUGGGUGCCGACGGCCUCCUGGCCCCCAUCUCGUCCUCCCAGGGGAGGUGAGGUCACCCCACCGCCAUCCCCAGGACCCCCCGACCAGCAAACGGCCACGUGUGUGCAGCCCCUUCUCCAGCCACUUCACGUUUGGGAGUCAGACAAGCCCAUUCUUAUCACUCAGUACAAUUCUUAUCACUCAGUACAGAGACUGUCAGGUGCCCAGUUCUUGACCCUACGAGACGUGUAGCCAACGAGGACACGCUCAAGUGCGACGCUGUCUGCGGGCGGCAUGGUGCCCACCGCCCCGCCGAGACGACUCCAGCAGCACCCGGGUGUCGGCGUCAGUCACCCGGAAGGGGGCCAGGCUCCAGCUCUGGGGCACCCGGUGCUACUGCCAGUUCUGACAUUUAAGAACUUGAGCUUCACUUCUGGGGGGUAUACUGAAAUGUAGAUUUGCUGUUUGGGGGGAAAUAGCGUUUUAAGGUUGGAAAUUGUGUCUGGAAGAUUGUAUGAGUAUUUUUGUAUUAAAAAAAAUUUAAAGGCUUUUUUCUUAAACUUAUUUUAUGUGGGAUUGUAAGUUUUGUUUUUUUUUUUUCCCGAAUUUUCCCGAUUUUUUGGGGCGGGGGGAGCAGGGCUUGCUGCACACGCGGUCCUAGUUCUCCUACAGGACGAAGCCGCACCUCCUCCCGCAGAAGCGGAGGUGCUAAGCCCGGGCCCCGGGCCGGGCCGCCCCAUCCCGGAGUCGUCCGUUGCUCUGCGCGUCUGACACCCUCCUGACGUCUGGGGAGAGGCCCCCGUGGCCCUGGAAGUGGUCUGGGGUGGGUGAGGGGCUCUGCUUCUGCCCCGCCCCCGCAAGCGUGGCCGGCAGAAGAGGCGGCUUCGCCAGCCUCAGCCCCAAGGCACCCUGACUCAGAGCCUCUGGUGUGCCCCCCGCACCCCCGAGCAGAGAGGUCAAGCUGGCUGGAAACAGCUCUGGUGGUUUUUCUUUAGAAAAGCUCAACUUUAAUUAGGUAGUUUUUACAAUGAAAACAGGUACCCAAGGACUGGUCUUAAAUGCUCACAACUGUACAAAAGGCAAAUACAAAACCUGCGGUUGCGAGCGCGGCCCACCGCGGGCCCCGGGCCGGCCCCACCCCGCUCUCAACCACCUUUGGUCCCUCAACUGUGCGGGUGGGGCCCGUGCUGCCCUAGCAGGAAAGCCCUCCAGGUCAGCGGGAUUUAAGAAAAACUAAGAAAAGGUCCAAGUCUAACAGGCGGAGCUGUUGCCAAGAUCAAGAAUUUACAACUUUUUUUUGGCUAAGUUUAACAUUCAAAAAUGUAAUACUGAAUCCAAAACUGUCUCAAAUCACACAAAAAGGACCCAUAUUAAAAUUUAGAAAACAAGUCCAGGACGCCCCGGAGAAACCGGAUCUGAAGCGUCAGCGGGCGCGGGCGCGGGUGCGCCCGGCGGCCC
rnacentral:lncRNA from 1 species